AUGGCUCAGAAUCAACGCGGCGGGCGCGCCUAACACAUGCAAGUCGAACGAGAAAGGGGAGCAAUCCCUGGGUACAGUGGCGUACGGGUGAGUAACACGUGGGUAAUCUGCCUCUUAGUGGGGAAUAACGCUGGGAAACCGGCGCUAAUACCGCAUAAGCCCGAGAGGGGAAAGCAGCAAUGCGCUGAGAGAGGAGCCCGCGGCCGAUUAGCUGGUUGGUGAGGUAACGGCCCACCAAGGCAAAGAUCGGUAGCCGGCCUGAGAGGGCACACGGCCACACUGGCACUGAAACACGGGCCAGACUCCUACGGGAGGCAGCAGUGGGGAAUCUUGCACAAUGGGGGAAACCCUGAUGCAGCGACGCCGCGUGAGCGAUGAAGCCCUUCGGGGUGUAAAGCUCUUUCGGCAGGGAAGAUGAUGACGGUACCUGCAGAAGCAGCUGCGGCUAACUACGUGCCAGCAGCCGCGGUAAUACGUAGGCAGCAAGCGUUGUUCGGAGUUACUGGGCGUAAAGGGUGUGUAGGCGGUUCUUUAAGUUUGGUGUGAAAUCUCCCGGCUCAACCGGGAGGGUGCGCCGAAUACUGAGGAGCUAGAGUGCGGGAGAGGAGAGUGGAAUUCCUGGUGUAGCGGUGAAAUGCGUAGAUAUCAGGAGGAACACCGGUGGUGUAAACGGCUCUCUGGACCGUAACUGACGCUGAGACACGAAAGCGUGGGUAGCAAACAGGAUUAGAUACCCUGGUAGUCCACGCCCUAAACGAUGCAUAUUUGGUGUGGGUCAUUCAGUUGAUCCGUGCCGGAGCUAACGCGUUAAAUAUGCCGCCUGGGGAGUACAGUCGCAAGGCUGAAACUCAAAU
rnacentral:rRNA from 1 species